rnacentral:lncRNA from 1 species
CACAAAACAUUCCACACACAUCCAUACAACUCCAUUCAUGCCAGAAUUCAUCCACCAUCCCUAACCGCACCUAUCCUUCACACAACUCCAUAGUUUCUGACCCCAAACCCCCCUAGCCGUGCCAUACACCCAUCCUAGACACUUUUCCACCAUUCAACCCCAUCCAAAACCAUCCCAAACAACCUGCUACAUUCAUUCAAAAUUCCAGAAACCCUAGUUCUAUAAUCUGCCGCACCUUCCCACCAUUCUUGCCGAGCUUUCCACCAUCUUCCAUCCAUCCACCACUCAUCCUACAACCCUUGCCGUGCCUCUACACCCCCCAAAUUCCAUUCUACGUCAUCAAAACAAUCCAAGAAGCAUCACCAUACAAUCUGCCGCAAGCAACAAAGGGGACAGAUUCUCUACAAUUGUUUGGCUGUUUCAAUCUGAGUUGUUGAACGAUUUUUAGGUGUUUUCUAUCUUAUAUUUCAAUGUCUAAUUCAUGUAAUCUUUGUUUUGCUUUAAGUAUGAUUGGCUAAAUUCGUUUGGGCUAAGGGUGGAUUCAAAACCAUGAUUAUAUAUGUGAAAUAAGUUGAUUACUUCCAGUUAUCGUUGCAUAAGUCGUGAAUACAAUUUGCUUAACCGUUUGAUUUAGAACUUAUUCUUGUAUGUUGAUUGAGAGUGCACGCUUAAUUUGCAUGCUUGAAUUUGGUGCUAGGAUAUAAGUUUAUUUCACCUAAUCGUUAUGAAUUUAUAUUCGCAAGUAGUGAAGGUCGCUAGUCACGAUCGUGUUAAGUAGAUUCCUGGCAAGAGUAUCAUGCUUUUCAUAGUUACGAAUGCCUUGUCGAUGCUUAUGAUUUCCAAAGAACGUAAUGAUUCUAACUUGUAUCUUUAUCAUGCUGUUCAUAUAGAGAACUUGUUAGGAAUAAUUUGUUUGCGAUGCAUAUUCAUCCAAUUCAAUGAUUCUAGGGAAAUCUGAAGGUUAAUUUAAGCGGACCUAAUUAACUUGGAGUGUUGAGAUUCAUAACUUAUUAAUUUGAUAACUGGAAAUCGAUUUAGGUUGCAUAUAUUUCAUGUGUGGAGAAGAACCCCUUAGCUAUUCCAUCAUCCAUUGAUUCAUCACAAUUUUGCCUUACAAUCUGUUUUCUUUUACAAUCUGUCCUUUUAGUUUAUUUUCGUCCAAAUCAAAUCCCCAUUUAUUUUGAAGUCCUAGAUUAGUUAGAAAGUGUGUUGGUUUAUGUUUUUAAGUGUUUUGGUAUAAGUUAAAACCCAAAUUCGUCCAAUUUGGUGCUUUGUGUUCAAAACUGCCCAGAAAGUGUUUUUAAGGCAGUUUUUGAGUCUUUUAGGUUUGUUUUAGUAUUUUAAACGUUAGUUUUGCAUUCUUUGAGUCUAAUCUAGUGUUUUAAACUUUGUUUUUGCGUUUCUAAUUCAGUUUUCAAGUGAUUAGUGCCCCUAGUUAAUCCCCGGUUAGAACGAUCCCUACUUACAUCAUUACUACAAUUGUCACAAAUAGGGUUUAAUUUGUGUGUCAACAUAAUGUUCACAUCAGCUAGUACUUAGUAAUUUUAGUAUUUGAAGCUAUUUUCGUGCAAUUUCAGGUUUUAAGGACAAAGUAUGCAAACAUGUGCAUUUUGGAGCCUUUUGGAGCAGUUUUGGGCAUGGAAUGGAUAGCUUAUGCUUGGAGCAAGGUGGAUAGACGAAAUUGAAGAUCAAAGGAGGCUAGGAAUGAAUAAUGAAAUAAAGAAAUGAAAAUGAAGAACAAAGAGUUCAGAAUUGGAAACCAAAGUUUCUAUUCUUGGAGGUUUCCAUUCUUGAAAGUUUAUAUUCUUGGCUUGGAAGUUUCCUAAUCCUUCCUCACCUAUGUUCCAGCCACAAAAGGGUUUCAAAACAUGUUAGGUUGCCUAAUUACAUAUUUCUAGAUGUCCUAGAACCUGCCCUAGAUAUUGCCGCACCACCCUAGGCUUUUUCCUUUCCUUGCCGCACAAGGGAUCCUCUCCUUUCCUAUUUUCUGAUUUUAAUUCACAUUCCCCUUUAGUUCUAGGCAUUGCCGCACCUUUCUCUCCUUUCUUACCUAUUUUCUGACCUAAAAUUGCAUUCCCUUUUGUUUCAAUUCUUGCUGCACAAGGGGAGAGGAUUCUUACCUAUUUUGUGCCUCAAAACACAUUCCUAACUCUGUCCUACACUCUCUUCCGAAUUUCCUUUCCUAUUCUCUUUAAUUUCUGCACCUUUCUUGCCUAUUUUCCAUUGAUUUCUGAUUCAAAAUUUAAUAAAUUCGUAGCCCUUCCUUUCCCUAUAAAUAAGACCCCUUUCUUACCAUUCUAAGCACUCCACCCUUCACCAUAACCAACCUAUAUCCAUCCACCACCACAAAAACCUUCAACCAUCCCUUGUGCCGCAGCAAAGAAGAAGGAAGGAGACCCUUGGACAUGCUUGCCAUUCAAGACGUUGGAUUGUUGGAGCGUUUCUAGGUGUUUUCAUUCUUUGUUUUCAAUGUCUAAAUUUAUGUAUCUUUGUUUUGCGUUUAUGAGGAACUAAGCCCUUCUUGGCUAGGGGGCUAUUCAAAACCAUGAUUAUAUUUGCAUUAUGAAAUGAUUACCUUCAGUUUUUAUUUCAUAAGUUGUGAAUUCAAUUUGCUUAACCGUUUGAUUGAUAACUUAUUCUGUAUGUUUUAUUAAGAGUGCACACUUAGUUUUCAUGCAAGGAUUUGAAGCUAAAAUAUAGGGGAGUUUCACCUAAUAGUUUACAAACUUAUAUUUGCAAGUAGUGGAGGUCGCUUAUAAACGAUCGUGUUAAGUGAAUUCUUGGCAAAAGUUUCAUUCUUUUCAUAGUUACAAUUGCCUCGUCAAUGCUUAUAGUUUUCAUGACACUUAAUGAUCUUUGAUUGUACCCUUUAUUGUGCUUUUCACGUAGGGGACUUUUAGAAAUGCUUUGAAUUGUUUGUAUGUGCUUUCCCAUCCAAUUCAUUAACUUAAGGAGAACUUGAAGGUUAAAAAAGUGCUGUCACAGUUAACCUGGAGCAUUGAGUUUCAUGACUUAUUGAGAGAAGCAAUUGGAAAUCAAUUUGAAUGCAAGUGUGUCAUGUGUGGAGAAGAACCCUCUAGUUAUCCCAUAUCUCAUCAAUUCACCUAAUUUUGUCAUAGAAUCUGUUUAAAUUGUUCUUGCUUUGUUUUACUUAUUUUCGUCCAAAACCAAACCCCCUUUACUUUGUUAAGUCAUAUUAGUUAGAACUUGUCUUAGAUUGUGUUUUUAAGUGUUUUGAGCCUUUAGAAACCCAAAUUUCGUCCAAAUUGUGUUUAGAGCUCAAAACUGCCCAGUUUGUGUUUUUAGGCAGUUUUGAGUGUUUUUAGCUUGUUUUGAGUCUUUUGAGUUUGUUUUGAGUCUUUUGAGUCUAGUUUAGUGUUUUAAAGCUUAGUUUUAUCUAUUUGAGUCAGUUGAGAGUGUUUAGCAAUCCCUCCUAAUCCCCGGUUUAAGAACGAUCCCUACUUAUACAUAAACUACAAUUGUCAACCAGAGGGUUUAAUUUGUGUGUUUAGUUAUUUUACGCAUCAAUCGUUCAUGGUUUAAAGAAACAAUACUGGAAAUUGAUUUAUGUUGCAUAUGUUCAUGUGUGGAGAAGGAUCCUCUAACUAGCUUUUCAUCCUUGAAUUCAUCUUAAUUUCGUUUUAGUUUACUUUGAUUUGCAAUUUGUUUAGUUUUAAUUCAAUUUCGUCAGAAAUCAAACCCCUUUUUCUGGUUUAUGUUAUUAGGUCAGAAUCUGUCCUAAUUAGGUUCUUUAGAGUGUUUUGAGUCAAUAUAGGUUAGAAUUAGUCCAUAAACAUUGUUUGGGUCUUAGUUUAGUCUUAAAUUCGUCCAAAUUCAACUCUAGAAUCUGUUUUGAGUCUAAUUGUUAGUAUUGUGCUGUUUUGAGUCUUUUAAGUGUUUUCUGAGUUAGUUAAGUUACAAUCUGUUUUCUUUUAAUCUUUUGAGUAAAAGUAAGUUUUAUUUUCGUCCAAAUCACUUGUUAGGUUUAGAAUUGAGUCAAUUUCACUUAGUUUUGCAGAAUUGAGUGUCUUAGGUCAGUUUAGAGUCUAUAUAGUCUAUUCUUGUGUUUUUAAGUCUAGUUUAGUGCUUUAGAGUUUAAUUUGAGUAGAUUAGCAGCCCUAGUUAAUUCUCGGUUUAGAACGAUCCCUACUUACAUCUUUGCUACAAUUGUCAUCAAUAGGGUUUAAUUUGUGUGUCAAGUAAUUUUCACAUCAAGGAACCUUCAAAGUUGCUGGAACUUAAGGCCAUUUUGGUUUAGGAAAGAUCAUCCCAAAAUAGGAAACUUUAGGCUUAACUUUCCUACUUCAAGUAUGAAACCUUGUUUGAGUAGGAAUCCUCAUUCUUCUAGGAAUCCAUCUUCAAUUAGGACUCUUUCUUUAACUAGGAAUCCUUCUUCAAUUAGGAGUCAUUCGUUGAUUGGGAAUCCUUCUUCAAUUAGGACUCCUUUGUUGAUUAGGAAUCCUUCUUCAAUUAGGAUUGCUUUGUUGAUUAGGAAUCCUUCUUCAAUUAGGACUCCUCACAUCUUCAACUCUUCAAUUUCAUCCAAUCCUUUUGCUCCAAACACGUGCCAUUCAUUCCACGCUCAAUUUUGCUCCAAAAUGCUCCAAAAUACACUUAUUUGCAUACUUUGCCCUUAAAACCUGAAAACACAUGAAAGUGGCUUAAAAGAUUAACUUAAUGAUGCGAAAUAUAUUAAGCACACAAAUUAAACCCUCUUUUUGUCAAAUUGUAGCAAAGAUGUA